GUACUCUGGUUUCUCUUCAGAUCGAAUAAAUCUUUCGCCUUUUAUUAAAGAGUUCCGUGGAGAGGAAUAACCAUGAGCUUCAUGUCAUUUUUUGAUGUCCGGUUGUUGCUGGGCU